UAGGCUAUGUUUGAUUCAUGGGUUUACACAUUAAGGGGAAUGAGAAUCAAAAUUAUAGUUAGUGUUUGAUUGACAACUUUUUUAAACACAACUAUGAAAUUUGAUUACUCAUU